GGGGAAUAUUGGACAAUGGGCGAAAGCCUGAUCCAGCCUUGCCGCGUGUGUGAAGAAGGUCUUCGGAUUGUAAAGCACUUUAAGUUGGGAGGAAGAGCAGUUACCUAAUACGUGAUUGUUUUGACGUUACCGACAGAAUAAGCACCGGCUAACUCUGUGCCAGCAGCCGCGGUAAUACAGAGGGUGCAAGCGUUAAUCGGAAUUACUGGGCGUAAAGCGCGCGUAGGUGGUUCGUUAAGUUGGAUGUGAAAGCCCCGGGCUCAACCUGGGAACUGCAUCCAAAACUGGCGAGCUAGAGUACGGUAGAGGGUGGUGGAAUUUCCUGUGUAGCGGUGAAAUGCGUAGAUAUAGGAAGGAACACCAGUGGCGAAGGCGACCACCUGGACCAACACUGACACUGAGGCACGAAAGCGUGGGGAGCAAACA
rnacentral:rRNA from 1 species